rnacentral:rRNA from 1 species
AUACGGAGGAUGCGAGCGUUAUCCGGAUUUAUUGGGUUUAAAGGGAGCGUAGGUGGGAUAUUAAGUCAGCUGUGAAAGUUUGGGGCUCAACCUUAAAAUUGCAGUUGGUACUGGUUUCCUUGAGUACGGUACAGGUGGGCGGAAUUCGUGGUGUAGCGGUGAAAUGCUUAGAUAUCACGAAGAACUCCGAUCGCGAAGGCAGCUCACCGGGCCGGAACUGACACUGAUGCUCGAAAGUGCGGGUAUCAAACAGGAUUAGAUACCCUGGUAGUCCGCACAGUAAACGAUGAAUACUCGCUGUUUGCGAUACACUGUAAGCGGCCAAGCGAAAGCGUUAAGUAUUCCACCUGGGGAGUACGCCGGCAACGGUGAAACUCAAAUGAAUUGGCGGGG